UUUAUACCUAUGAAAAUUUUUUAAUAUUAUAUUAUGACUUGAUAUGCAAAUUUUUGAUCUUGUACUGCCUAAAUGUUAUGUCAUGUAUUGGGAUAUGUCAUACUUAUUACACUGCAUGGUCAGUGUAUUUUUUACAGAAAUACUUUGCAUAUGUUAAUGUAAACACAGCUAUUAGGUACUAGUACAUGAAGUACAUGUAUGUAAACACAGCUAAUUAUUUUUUGUUUUAUUUCAGCUCAAAACAGCCUCUUGUUACCACAUGGCUUUUACUGGUACCUGUUGAUUCUUGUGGGUCAGCUCCUGAGAUUAACCUGUCACCUCUAUUCACAUGCAUAUUCCUUGUGUUCUACAGACUAUUUACCGGUAAUUCAAAUUAAAUCCGAUAAUGCAUGAACAAUAAUGGAACUUGAAGAAAGCAUCAUGCCAUGUUGUGGUUUGUGUUUGAUAAGAAAUUAUGAAAACAAAAUUAAGGCUGUUUAAAGAAAUUCAUAAUUGCUGUGAAAAUUUGUUUUUCAAUAAAAGUAUGCAAUUAUGU
rnacentral:sRNA from 1 species